GAUGAAGAACGCAGCGAAAUGCGAUACGUAAUGUGAAUUGCAAAUUCAGUGAAUCAUCGAGUCUUUGAACGCACAUUGCGCCCCCUGGUAUUCCGGGGGGCAUGCCUGUCCGAGCGUCAUUGCUGCCCUCAAGCACGGCUUGUGUGUUGGACCCCGUCCUCCGAUCCCGGGGGACGGGCCCGAAAGGCAGCGGCGGCACCGCGUCCGGUCCUCGAGCGUAUGGGGCUUUGUCACCCGCUCUGUAGGCCCGGCCGGCGCUUGCCGAUCAACCCAAAUUUUUAUCCAGGUUGACCUCGGAUCAGGUAGGGAUACCCGCUGAACUUAAGCAUAUCAAUAACGGAGGA
rnacentral:misc_RNA from 1 species